GACGAACGCUGGCGGCGUGCUUAACACAUGCAAGUCGAACGGAAAGGCCCUGCUUUUGUGGGGUGCUCGAGUGGCGAAGGGGUGAGUAACACGUGAGUAACCUGCCCUUGACUUUGGGAUAACUUCAGGAAACUGGGGCUAAUACCGGAUAGGAGCUCUUGCUGCAUGGUGGGGGUUGGAAAGUUUCGGCGGUUGGGGAUGGAAUAGCGGCUUAUCAGCUUGAUGGUGGGGUAGUGGCUUACCAAGGCUUUGACGGGUAGCCGGCCUGAGAGGGUGACCGGCCACAUUGGGACUGAGAGACGGCCCAGACGCCUACGGGAGGCAGCAGUGGGGAAUAUUGCACAAUGGGCGGAAGCCUGAUGCAGCGACGCCGCGUGCGGGAUGACGGCCUUCGGGUUGUAAACCGCUUUCGCCUGUGACGAAGCGUUAGUGACGGUAAUGGGUAAAGAAGCACCGGCUAACUACGUG
rnacentral:rRNA from 1 species